UUUAGCACCAUAACAGCCCGGCAGCAGACAGUCUGCUGUGCUGUGCCUGGGGGUUGGUGCAGGCAGCUUGGUAGUGAAAGUCAAAAGCAAAGAUUCUUGAAAAUUAGAACAAAUUGAGAAAAUGGUAGGAAUGGAAAAUAUUAAAGGGGGAGUUCAGAAAAGAAUAAAAGGCUAAAAAGAAAAACAGAGAAAUUUUCCAAAGAGGGGUUACCUUGGGAAGCUAUAAGAUUAAAUAAGGCUGCAGCAAUUUCUUAGAAGAGUUUCCAACUCUUUGAUUCAAGCCUUCAGGGACUGCAAGCUAUUGUUUUGACUAUCUUCAAAAAUAAAAACCUUCAACGCAUGAAAAUAGAGUUUUAUUUUUGAAAAAUAAUCAAAAGUCCAUAGAAACCGAGUCCAGAGGACAGGGGCCCGUGAAAUUAUAUAGCCUGUCCUGCCAGAGACUUCAACCAAAACACAGACAAAGAGAAAUACCCAGGCUGUUCCCCCUUCUCACCCUUCAUUCUCCCACUGCUUCCCAUUGGACUAACUUAAAAGUAAAAGUAAACUCUAGUGAAAAAAAGAAAUGCAGUUUACAGGUUCUGCUCCUAAGAACCAAAGCAGAGCAGGGGGGUCUGAGUGCUGAAAACUCAGCCCGCACACUCAAGCCAUUUUACACCUGUCUGAUUGAAUAAAUUAGAAACCAUGAAAUGUGAUCAGUCGCAUUAUUUGGAUUUUACUGAAUAAAGGUCUUUAAAAAUGUUUACCUUUUAA
rnacentral:lncRNA from 13 species